rnacentral:rRNA from 1 species
AGUGAACGCUGGCGGUAGGCCUAACACAUGCAAGUCGAACGGCAGCACAGUAAGAGCUUGCUCUUACGGGUGGCGAGUGGCGGACGGGUGAGGAAUACAUCGGAAUCUACUUUUUCGUGGGGGAUAACGUAGGGAAACUUACGCUAAUACCGCAUACGACCUACGGGUGAAAGCAGGGGAUCUUCGGACCUUGCGCGAUUGAAUGAGCCGAUGUCGGAUUAGCUAGUUGGCGGGGUAAAGGCCCACCAAGGCGACGAUCCGUAGCUGGUCUGAGAGGAUGAUCAGACACACUGGAGCUGAGACACGGUCCAGACUCCUACGGGAGGCAGCAGUGGGGAAUAUUGGACAAUGGGGGAAAGCCUGAUCCAGCCAUACCGCGUGGGUGAAGAAGGACUUCGGGUUGUAAAGCCCUUUUGUUGGGAAAGAAAAGCAGCAGGUUAAUACCCCGCUGUUCUGACGGUACCCAAAGAAUAAGCACCGGCUAACUUCGUG